rnacentral:rRNA from 1 species
GACGAACGCUGGCGGCGCGCCUAACACAUGCAAGUCGAACGAGCGAGAGAGAGCUUGCUUUCUUGAGCGAGUGGCGAACGGGUGAGUAACGCGUGAGGAACCUGCCUCAAAGAGGGGGACAACAGUUGGAAACGACUGCUAAUACCGCAUAAGCCCACGGUGCCGCAUGGCACAGAGGGAAAAGGAGCAAUCCGCUUUGAGAUGGCCUCGCGUCCGAUUAGCUAGUUGGUGAGGUAACGGCCCACCAAGGCGACGAUUGGUAGCCGGACUGAGAGGUUGAACGGCCACAUUGGGACUGAGACACGGCCCAGACUCCUACGGGAGGCAGCAGUGGGGAAUAUUGCACAAUGGGGGAAACCCUGAUGCAGCGACGCCGCGUGGAGGAAGAAGGUCUUCGGAUUGUAAACUCCUGUUGUUGGGGAAGAUAAUGACGGUACCCAACAAGGAAGUGACGGCUAACUACGUG